GCUGCUUCGGGGAAACCAGACCGAGGAGCCCAGCGACUCACUUUCUUCUCCCGGGUUUUUCUCUCUUCUCUCCGCCUUUCGAACUCUUCGAAGGAGAUUUUUCCUUCCAGGUGAAGGUGCUCCAUAACAAAAUGACAGAAUCCGAGGGCAGGACCAGCAAGAACUGGACUAACAGAAGACAGAAAACUAUCUCAGUUAGGAGUCCUUGAGGAUCCUCAGUGUCCUACACAGACAUGAAAACAUCCAGGAGCAGAUGGAGGCUGUAAAUGUAAUCCCCAGAAACUGCUUAAUUUGUCCAUGGGUGAGUCAGAGGCAGUCACAUUACCUGGAGAUGGAGCCGAACUGUUAUAACAGUAAUGAAAAUAUCAAGAAGAAACAAUUGGGUCUUUCAGACGGAUUUUUGAGGCUCAAAAUGGAAAGGUCUACAGGAAGCAGACCAUUGAAUUUAUGCCAUGACAAUUGAAUUAAAGAGGACAGAGAGGCAA